rnacentral:rRNA from 1 species
AAAAUUAGAGUGUUCAAAGCGGGCAGAUAUUUUUCCUGCCACCGAAUACAUUAGCAUGGGAUAAUGGAAUAGGACCCUGACCUCCUAUUUUCAGUUGGUUUUGUUUACAGCGAGGUUAUAUCAGGGUAAUGAUUAAUAGGGAUAGUUGGGGGCAUUAAUAUUUAAUUGUCAGAGGUGAAAUUCUUGGAUUUAUGAAAGAUUAACUUCUGCGAAAGCGUUUGCCAAGGAUGUUUUCAUUAAUCAAGAACGAAAGUUAGGGGAUCGAAGACGAUCAGAUACCGUCGUAGUCUUAACCAUAAACGAUGCCGACCAGCGAUUAGGAGACGUUGAAUACAAAACACCGCCGUUAAUCCUUCGGUAUGUGA